rnacentral:lncRNA from 1 species
AUUUUCAGCUGAACAGAGUCUUGUUUACCUUGUGCAGGGAUUAUGCUACCAACUGAAAUGCAAAACCUUCUGUGGCAAGAGAGAAGAGGCAGUCUUGUGACUACAGCUCUGACCUGACGGACAUGCUCUCUUCAAGUAUGACUUCAUUCAGGUAGUAAGACCAAGAACUGCAUUAAAAAACAGGAAGAUUGGCCCUAGGCAGACAGAUGACAGAAAUACAACAGCGCACAAGAGCCCAGUCUCAGUUCUCACACGUAUGCUAGUUAACACUUUGAUGGCUGAGUUACAUUCUAAGCAAAUCUAAGCUGCUUAAAUAUAAAAGCCUGAUUUGGAAAGCUAUUGUCUGGAGAUUGUAUUUGCAUAACAACAAAUAGAGUCAACCUACAUUGUCCAGUGUUGAAGGAAAAAUAACCUACGGAGAAAAGGAAGGCAAUUUGCCCUGCAGUGAGUCAUCAGGCUCUGCUGAGCUGAAAGAAGACGACAUUUUUGAGGAAAAGGCUGCUGGCAUAUAUCUAUUGCAGAGGAGAAGAAACAUAUAGUGGGAAUGGUCAUACCAGGAGAAUUGUCAAAGAACUGGGGAAAAACAGCGGUGAAGAGAUAUCCAGAAAAUCAUCAUGAUUCUCUGCAAGAUCCUUGGAGGAACUCCACUACAAGAAAACAAAAAUGAGAAUGUGCCAACAUUUAGUCCAAGAAUAAAUCCACAGUGAUCCUUCCUAGAAGAGCA